AACGCAUAUUGCGCCCUUUGGUAUUCCGAAGGGCAUGCCUGUUCGAGCGUCAUUAUCACCCCUCAAGCCCGGCUUGUUGUUGGACCACGCCCCGCCUCGCGGCGGGACGGGCCCCAAAGAUAAUGACGGCGUCUGUGAGGACUCCAGUACACUGAGCUUUCGGGCACGUACUCGGCUAGAAAUUCAGACCCGUCCAACCCUUUUCGCCUCCGCAAGGAGCCGAAAUACCACCAAGGUUGACCUCGGAUCAGGUAGGAAUACCCGCUGAACUUAA
rnacentral:misc_RNA from 1 species